UAUUCUUUCAUAAUCAAGCUAUAGACUUCACUUUUUUCUUCACUUCUAAAGGUGGGCCAUCAAGGAGCUGUUAAAGAAAAGAGGAAGCAAUCUCCUCCCAAAGAGCAAUUAGUUCAUUCUCUAGGAUCUCAGUCUCUUCAGUCUAAAGUUUUGGUGGUGGGGGGUUUUAAGGCUGAUAGGUAACGAGAUCAAGCUGACCAGUCUUCUUCCUCCCUACCCAACC
rnacentral:lncRNA from 1 species